GGUAAACAGCAUCUGGACUGGGAAGAAUUAUGGAAGGGCUAUAAACGUCUGAUAAGAAUCCCAUGCUUUAUGCUUCCCUGAAUGUAGUCUCUUGAGAGGAACUAAGAAACUAUCCUCAAGGAAUUAUUACCAGAGACAACGCUUAGAGACUGAGGCUUCUUCUAAGCCAGAAAAGCCACUACACCUUCCUGACACAGAUUUUGUUUUUUUAAACUAGAAUCAUGUCACAUAGGGAGAGACAAGUCCCCAGUUUGCUUGACAAGAACCUUUUCCACCAAAAAAACAAAAUAAAACAAAAAAGUAACAAGUUUUAGUCUUGCACUAGCCAAAUAGUCAGGAACCAACACAGAAAGUCAAACUACAACUUCAUGAGGCUCACUGAUGGAAAAAGUUUCAUGAGCUUACAGUUUAAUUAUGAAGACAGGCAAAUAAAACUCAGCAGAGCACCUACCACAACAACCCAGCUUUCAAGGAAGGCUCCUGGUAGCAUGCAUUGUCGGUGCACAGCCUAUGAGUGAUUUGAAGCUGAAUAUUCAGGGAGAGGGGUUUGUACCAAAGAAACAAGGAGCUGACAGGAGGAUGACAGAAGACCAAAAAAAAACCAAUUUAGGAAUGCAAAGAAAAUAGCAAAGAGUCCUUUCCUCAAUAGGGUAAUCACAGCACAACACAAAAUGGGUUACAAGAUUAACCUAAUCACUGAGAAAAGGUUAAUUUGUGCUCUGUAUGCUGUGUUUUAACAAGAAGAGAAAAUAGGAAAUGAAUUUUCCUGACAGAAACAGCUCAGAUCAAAAAUGCUGCUGCACAAGCUUCUAUGAGGCAGAAAACUCACUUACGUGGAAACUCUGUCAUUACCACAAGGGACAAAACACAUGAGAGACAGACCCUGUGUCUCUCUUUGGGAAGAGAGGUGCUUCAGUGAAGGGCCCUGGCUCUUCCAACUAGCCCAGUCUUCUUUCCACAACUGCCCUCCCACAGCUGCCCUCAUCACCUUGGGAACAGCUCCAUUCUCGUCACCGGUGAGGUUUGCGGUUAAUUUUAUUCAAACAGACAUAAAGGCCAUAUACUCAUUUUAGGGACAUCUAUACUGCUCCAUUUGUAAUUACUUCAAA